rnacentral:lncRNA from 1 species
AUAUUAUGUAAAACCACUUCUAGGCACUUCCAAGUGAUCCUCCCACUUUGGCCUUUCAAAGUGCUGAGAUUACAAACCUAAAUGAGCCACCGCACCUAGCCCAUUCACUCUUAAAAGUCUCCAGUUCCUGCACAUACACAUGAAUCAAUGGCUCAAAGGAGGAUGUAGAUAGCACGAUUCUAGGAGUUAAAAAAAAAGACUUUGGAUAAUAAGGGCCAGCUUCUCAGGCUUUGGAACCUGCUGUGGGAGUAAAGGCUGGCCUUCAAAGUUUCUGUUCUUAAGUCUGGAGGUGAUUAGCAUUA